rnacentral:misc_RNA from 1 species
UUUUCUAACCAAAGAUUAGUAUUGAAAGCUUUAAGACUUGGAAAAAUAUGUAUGUGUCGCUGCACAUAUGACAUGUACUGUAAAAGAUCUCAUUGUUUUUAGGACUCUCAAGGUACAUCACCUGCUUGCUGUGAAUGGCUACAACCUACAGGCAAUGCAAGCUAUUCUAAUCCACAUGACAAAUGCAUUUAUUUUUACAUCUAUUAACUGACUAAACUUGUUUUAUCAGUUGGGGA